rnacentral:rRNA from 1 species
GAGUUUGAUUAUGGCUCAGGACGAACGCUGGCGGCGUGCCUAAUACAUGCAAGUGGAACGCAUUGAUUUCACCGGAGCUUGCUCCACCGAAAUUAGUGAGUCGCGAACGGGUGAGUAACGCGUAGGUAACCUACCUCUUAGCGGGGGAUAACUAUUGGAAACGAUAGCUAAUACCGCAUAACAAUAGGAUACACAUGUACCCUAUUUAAAAGGAGCAACUGCUUCACUAAGAGAUGGACCUGCGUUGUAUUAGCUAGUUGGUAGGGUAACGGCCUACCAAGGCAUCGAUACAUAGCCGACCUGAGAGGGUGAUCGGCCACACUGGGACUGAGACACGGCCCAGACUCCUACGGGAGGCAGCAGUAGGGAAUCUUCGGCAAUGGGGGGAACCCUGACCGAGCAACGCCGCGUGAGUGAAGAAGGUUUUCGGAUCGUAAAGCUACUGUUGUAAGAGAAGAACGUGUGAGAGAGUGGAAAGUUCU